rnacentral:lncRNA from 1 species
AAGUUAGGAGGGGACACAGCUGGGACAGCUAACCCCAGCUGACCAAAGCGGUAUUCCAGAUCAUAUGAUGCCAUGCUCAGCAGUAUUAAGCUGGAGGAAGAAGGAAAGGGGGAUGUUCAGAGUGAUGGCAUUUGUCUUCCCAAGUAACUGUUACACAUGAUGGAGCCCUGCUUUCCUGGAGGUGGCUAAACGCCAAGCUUGCUGAUGCGAAGUGACAUGCUGUCUGUGAAUUUGUCUACCCUGUGUCUACUGCUCAUACUGUUUGCCUUUAAAAUCUGCUGUGACUACAUAUUCCACAAGUUCAUUACCUAUCAUGUGAAGUCUCUGAUUCUGGCAUGAAUCACAGUUCUGUGCCAUCCAGCUCUUCCCUGAGGUCUGCAUGGCUAGCAGUCAACCAGAGCAUGCUAUAAAGGGCAGGGGCAUUGAUCCAAGGAAGCAAUCAGGUACAUGUGUGAUUCUUUCUCCACAGAGCUCUCAAAAUCUAAUCAGAAAAGCUUUUUGGAACAUUCUUCCAAGAACUUUAAACAAUCUGGAGAAGACAAACAUUUCAUCAGAAUCUGAAUGUACAAAAAAAUAAAUUGAUU